GUUGCUUGUUUUGCUUAUGCUAAUGCUCAAUUCACUUAAUUUUUAUAAAAUUUUGUUCUACUUCUAAAUUUUUGCAGAAUUGAACAUUUGUAAAAGGAAAACCCCUAAAAGUAAAAUGCAGCAAUGGGACCACAUUUUGAAGAAAAACUAAGAAUCAAGAUUUCAAGAAUUAAGUCGUUAUUUCAAAAAAUAGAAUAUUUGUAUUACAAAAAGCAGGUUGUUCUGCAACAGGAUAACAUUUUCUAAUACAAAAUAAUGUUAGUAUGUUCAAUGAAUGAAGUUGUGAUGUAUCAGAAACACAUAUUUGAUGUUUCCUGAAUAAAGCAGUCAUAAGUUGAGAAUAAAGUUGGUAUGAGAAUGAAGCUGUAAUCAUAAGUUAUGUUACGGUAUUAAAGUCAUUAAGUUAGGGGAAUAAGUAAUUAAUUUUGCCAACACUAACCAUAUGGGCGGUGUUACCACACAGAUAAAAUAAAUGUUUUCCAAAGGCCCACAUACAGUACUUGGAGCCACCCUUGCAUAAGUCAAUGUCAUUUUUGUCCGUUCACACAACAAAUUUAAAGUGGUGUGAAAACCUUCAAAUUUUUGAGGAUGCUUUUGACUGAGCUGCUUUCCCGUUAACACUUCCCCCUCAAUAAAUUUGAGUCAAAGUCACAAACACACUAGCAGUUCAGGGUUAGAGGACACUGUGGCAGGUAGACUGUUUUUUAUUUUAUUUUAUUUUAUUAUUAUUAUUUUUUGAAGUUUUCAUCUACUCAGUUGCUAACUACAGACCAGUCCAGUCAGCAGUUGCUCAGUGGUGCCAUCUUGAGCAGCAGCCAUUGCUGCAGUUGCAGCUCAGUUUCUGCUGCUGUCUGCACACAUUAACAGCAGUAUGGGUAACUAGACUAUAAAUGUUACACAAGUGCAGAUGAAGGUACCAUAAUCACACGAGUAACACUUUACACUAAGGUCCUUGUAAUAAGUAUGAAUUCAUAAGCCACUUAUUAAACCCUAUUUGGUGCUUAAAAACACUUACAAGUGACGAGUGUUAAUAAAGUAUAAUCAACAUAUUUAGUUUUACCCACUAGUCACUUGCAGCUUCUUAUUAGAAAGUUGUUAACAGCUUAGCGACCUGUCGUGAACAUCUAAAGAAUGUUUAGUAGACUUUCUAAGGGUUAAUUGACUCUUACAGCACCAAGAAAAUGCAGCCCUGAAAGGACAGAAAUAGUUGUGAUUCUGACAGUUUGUAAUGAGUCAAAGCUGUCGAGCCACUCCGUUCAAUAAUAGCUAAUGUUACAACAGGAAGUUAAUUGCGUCAGUGUUAUAGUUUUUCUUCUUUUGACAAUGACACAGUUUCACAGGAUGACUGUGGGUGUGCUGUUGUUGUGAAUCUGUCAGUGAGUCUCAUCUCACCGAUUCACAACCCAGCUCUUUCUCUGAGUUGAUUCAGAGUCCAUCACUCCUCCAAAUCUGUUGUUAGAGAAAAGAAGAAAUACUUUCAGCAUUUUUAUGUGUGGACUUGAAUUUUCUUUAUAAUUUUCACUUUGGGCAUCCAAUGUUUUUUUGUCUGCAAGUUUUGUGAGACAUACUGUACGUAUCCCAAAAAAAAAAUUCAAACAUGAGGGUUAGCAAAGGUUGCAUACGAGGGCCAGUCUUACCCUGUUUGAUUGUUUUAUGAGUCGUGGUGGAGGGCGAAGAAAAGCUGUAUGAGUGAAUCAUGAGCGACAUGCAACCAGACACUUACAAUGUUGUUGAUGCGGAGUGUUUAUGUGAAUUACUGUUGUCAACAUCACAGGUCAUGGUGUCAUGGUGCUUUCAGGUGCAGUCAGGAAAGUUCUGAAAUUAAUAAAUCAGGUCAUAGGUUUGCUCUUUCUCUGCAGUCAGCCAACAAAAUUUUCUGACAUGUCAGAAUUCCAUCCGGCCAGUGAGGAACAGCUGAUCGGGUUCUUGUGACGCUGAAUGGGAAAAGAUCAGGAAUGAAGUUGUCCUGACUUCUAGAGCAGUCCUACAACUCAUGAACCAGGUCAGAAACAGUUUCAAAUAACACAGUGUACGCUCAGCGUAAGUAGUUUUCCAAACCUACAAACAAUCAGAUUAAUGCAGUGUAGUAUUGAUGAGAGAUAUAGACAGUAGUGUGCAAAGGAAAGAAACUACCUUUUUUUUGUUUUGUUUUUUUGUUUGUUUUUUUACCACUGAACUCUGUAUAUUGAGGCUGUUUGCUCCUCUUUUAAUGGAAAUAAUUUGUCCACCUCAUGUGUAAGCGAUGGAAUGCUGUAUCCAGCUGACCUUGAUGAGAAACCACAGUCCUACAUUUAAGAAAGCAAAUAUAUAACAUGGUCUCUGUCUCUCAUGAAAAAUCAUGUUGCGUCUGUCCUUGUUUGUCAGUUUCAGUGAAAAUGACACUGCUGAGCAGGGCUGUAAUGUCAGAGGUCAGAGCAGCUCCCUCUGUGAGGCUGCAGCUGGAGGCUGAAAUGGACAAACUGUGCUAUAACAGAGAUAUUUAAAAUGUUAUUUCAGAAACAAAUCAAUAGUAACAACAGCUCAAUCCAUGAGGCGUUGAAAACACUUAAUCUGACUAAUGCAAGAUAAUAAAAAAGUGUACAAUCUUGCGGCUGUGCUUGCAAUUUUUGGCUAUGUGCAUGAUAACCAAUGGGUGUCUAUAAAUAAAUCCAUAAUGGCCUGGGAAUUAUUUCCAAUCCCUCAACUGAAACGCAAUCUGGAUGCGAAGAUGACGGCAGACGGCUAAUAAAGAUUUAAGCAGCAAUAACUCGUCAGGCAAAUAAAAGCCAGAUUUCAAUAAUACAUCACUGACAAAGAGCUGCACUUCUAAUAAGCAACAUUAUGGAUGCAUAAACUGAACAAAUUACCUCCAGUAAGAGAGCAUUGUCUUCAUGGAAAUUUGUGAGUCUGUGACAAUGGAGUUUUUCUAAGUUAUUAAACCUGUAGUAAGAGAGGCUGAACUCUGCAGAGCUUCGUAUGAUGAUGGUUAUAAAUUACUUAGCGUAGAGACAUACAGUCCCUCUAGUUCCUCUAACAAUAUUAGACACUAAAUCAUGUGACGGCUUCAACAUUGGACAGAAAUUGAUUGAUUGACCGAUGAACAUGGUUUUAGUCUCAGGAGAAAUGAGACAGAAGAAGCUAAUGAGAAAAUAUGUUUGUACAACAAAUUAUUUGCCACUUGAUAAAUGACUUGUUAGUGGUGUACAGUGUUGUCUCCCAAAAGCCAAAGCUGUAUUUUCAGACUGUGGUUGUAGCUAAAUAAACCGUUUUUUGAGUUGUUUAGUGGUCGUUUGGCCCCUUGCUGCUGUGCCUCUAUUUCUUAUGUGAGGUCUGCUGUGGUGGUUCUGACAGAAGUCACAGCUGUCAUAUCUGAGAGUGAGCCAAGUGACGUUUCCAUCCCUCUGUGGAAAAAAGAUAAGAAUUAAUCAAUCAGAUGAGGUAAGGUUAUUCCACUGCCAAACUGUGAUUAAAGCAGGAUAAACACUUGAUAAUUGUACUGAUUUUGGCCCUCAUUCCAUUCUCCUGACAAAAGUCAGAGGCCUUAUUAUCAGAUCAUUCAAAAGUUUAUCACACCAAAACCAAUUUUUAAAAAGCCAGAGAUUCCUAGCAUGGCUACAAAUGCUAACAGAUUCAAGUUUUGUUCCUGUAAUUUAUAACAGUGUGGUGAACAUAGCACAACUUUCAUACCUGGAAAUCUCAUUAAAUAUCUUAAGGUCAAAUGUAAUUUUAGAGUAGGAACCUAUGAGAGCUAAUCGUUGCCGACUGCUUAAAAGUCAGUCUUAGAUCAUCUGAGACUUUGCAAGAAGAUGGCCUUACGAUCAGUUCCUCUUGUUUCCCGGUUAAAUUUGGUUAGAUAGUGUUCAGUGUUUGACGGGAUGGUGCACGAUGCAGACUGCAGCUGUAUGUGAGCCAUUGGUGUCCUCAGAUUCAGAAAGGUCGACUUGUUUUAAUGUGAUGUUUGUCUUUGUCAAAGCAGAAGCAGAAGGUGUAAUUCUGAAUGCUGCUAAGAAUGUCUGGACUUGGUCCUUGUGGUGGCCUAAACUGCCACUACCUCGUGUUAGUAUUUCUUUUUCUUUGGGUUUUAACACCAGUUUUGUUUGUAGUUUAAAAAGAGCACAUUACACACCUUUCUGUUGAAAUAAAAUCACUUUAAUUGUUGUUCACUUUAGUUGUUUUCUAACUUGGGUGCACACAAUCUAGUUAACAAACUGUCACAUGGUUGAUUUUCCACAUCAUGCUUUAAUCUCAAGUUAUACUUCCUCCUGUUUUCUUUUGUUUGAGUUUCCUGGCAAAGGGCUGUCUGCUGAUCCAAGAUGGCCUUUUAAGCCCUGCCCACAGGAAGUGGGAGAGACCAUGGAGGGGGAACACAGGGGCAGCAUGGACUUUUAUUUCAUCUCCAAUCUUCUGUUUGUGUUCUUUUCAGUUUGUAAAGGCAAUUUAGUUUAUUCUGUAAAUAGUUUGUUUUGAUGAUUUGAAGCUAUUUUUCUUAGUUUGUUUAAUGUUUAGUUUGGAGUCACAUUUAGUUUCCCCCUUGUGUUUCUGUUGGACUAGUCCUUUGUCUAUUUAAACCCCCAGCAUGUCUCACUUUGGUUAGGUC